UACGUAGGGUGCAAGCGUUGUCCGGAAUUAUUGGGCGUAAAGAGCUCGUAGGCGGUUUGUCGCGUCUGCUGUGAAAACUGGAGGCUCAACCUCCAGCCUGCAGUGGGUACGGGCAGACUAGAGUGCGGUAGGGGAGAUUGGAAUUCCUGGUGUAGCGGUGGAAUGCGCAGAUAUCAGGAGGAACACCGGUGGCGAAGGCGGGUCUCUGGGCCGAUACUGACGCUGAGGAGCGAAAGCGUGGGGAGCAAACAGG
rnacentral:rRNA from 1 species